UGCUGAUGGAUUACUCCCUAAUGGUGAAAAGAAGUUGUAUUAGCUGUUUGUGAAAAAUGGACUCCUCUAAAGAAGAAAAAGAGAUGAGAAACAUGACAAACUGGUAUGUGUUUCUUGGAAACAUGAUCUGCUAAGGAGGAAAUGGUGCUUUCACAUUUAAAAUUCAGAAAAAAGAAAUGACUGCUUCUUGUGACUGCUUGUACAUGGAGCCAGGUUUUGACAGUCUUAUGCAGCCAUGUGGCAGGGAGCCUUCUGCGCUGAACCCUUCCUCGCCUGUGUAUCUGGCCAGUCCUACUAGAUGCCUGGCAGGGCUGAGGCUGAAAAAAAGGCUGCACAGAUUAGGAAAAACUGAGAACCUUUUCCUCUCUAAAGAGGAGCUGGCACCAAAAGAAAAGUUCCCGAACUCCCAAACAGAGAAGCAUCAGUCUUGGAAAGACAGGUUGGAGAAAAGAUCUGAGAAGUGGACGCAGAUGCUGGAGAUCAGCAAGAUGCAUGGUGAAUGCCAGGGGAUGCUCCAGGACCCUGCUGGUGAUGCCCAGGGUGGGUAAGUGGGAGCAGUGACAGAGCAGGAACUGAUACAACUUUUGAGGGUUGGGUGAUGUAGAGCUAAAGAGAGGAAGUGAAUGAAUGAAUGACUGUGUGAGAUAACCAAGCUGGUUAAAAGUGAUAUGGCUCUUAAACAAACCCCAGUACCAGAUCUACUAUGGUCUGUCAUUCACUCUGUCUUGUCCAUUAUAAUGAGGAUGUAGCAAAAUGGCAUUAGAGUUCCAACAACAGUGAACCUUUGGAAUGUAUAGGCAGAAAGCAAGCCAGCAAACUCUUCACAUGCCUGGUCAAAUAUUUCAUGAUAAUAUGUUUUUAAGAUGUCAAGUAUUGUCUUUGUUAUUUUAUUUUGACACAGCAGAAAGCACUGAAAAAAGUUUCAUAACUUUUCUUCUCUUUAGAAGUUUGAUUCUGUGGUAAUUGAAAUUACUAGUUCUGCUCUGGCACUAUUGGGGAAUAGGCAACAACUACAUGUUGAAGAUUCCUACGAAACACAAACGUGACAGUUCCCUACAAGGUAUAUGGAUGAAAAUGAACAAUAACACAUUGCUUUCUCUGUUAUAUAGGCAAACUGAAUUAAAUUUAACUCUUCUCAUUAUAAGUCUAUUUUUUUUCCUUCACAAUCAUUUUAAGGUUAUUUAUUCUCUUUCCAAAUUUGAUGUAUCAGCAAGAUUAGUGCCCACUAGGUAUAAUACUCUGCCUGAAUUUGUUUCAGGCUGAAACCCAGAAUUUCACCUUUAAAGACUUUGGAU